rnacentral:rRNA from 1 species
CUCGUAGGCGGUUCGUCGCGUCCGGUGUGAAAGUCCAUCGCUUAACGGUGGGUCCGCGCCGGGUACGGGCGGGCUUGAGUGCGGUAGGGGAGACUGGAAUUCCCAGUGUAACGGUGGAAUGUGUAGAUAUCGGGAAGAACACCAAUGGCGAAGGCAGGUCUCUGGGCCGUCACUGACGCUGAGGAGCGAAAGCGUGGGGAGCGAACA